AAGAAACCCCAAGAACAUUCUGCUAAAUGUAUUAGGCCAUAUUCAUUUAUAUGUUCUGGCUAAUUUGUGCUGCUCUGGUGAUGCAAAGCAGCCAUAAACCUGGAUUAGUGCAGUGGAGCAGUGGGGAGACUUUAGUAAAGAAACAGGAAGACUGUAGUUUGCUGUGAGACAUAGACUGUAUGUAGGGUUUUGCAGAAGCAGGAAGGAGACGGGAGAACAAGACUGAGCAUUUGCUCUAUAUCCAUGGAGAGGAGGGCUGAAAACUGCAAAUUUUAAAUAUGCAUCCAAAGAUGUCUAUUGCUAAUUUUAUCAUCCGUAGGAUGGACUGAGAAAAUCAACAAGAGUUUGGGCUGUGCAGUCUCUCAUUAAUAUAUUUUGGCUUCUGGGAUGACUACUCAGAGGACAUACCGAGAUAAGUGUUGCAAUAUAUUUACACAGACAAGAAAAAGCUGUUAAGAAAAUUAUUAAUAUGUGUUGAAAAAUGCACAUGAAUAUAUAUAUAUUCUAGUCUGAGUUAGUGGCAUAUGUAAGGAUUAUACAUAUAUGUGUUUAAGGGGUGUGUGUAUGUGUAUAAAUGCAUAUUACUUCUCAAAAUGAGAAUUGCUUGAUUGAGAUUGGAGUUGUUAAUUCUCAUGGCAAUGACAGUCUAAAAAGGCAAAAGAGAAAUGAUAUAUAAACAAUUUAUUGAAAGUGAAGUCUGUAAAUAACGAUUUCUAACCUCACCUGGUCCUAGCUCUGUUACUCUUUCAUUACAAAAGCUAUUUUUAACAGUUUUUAAUUGCUUAUCAUUUGCUACUUCCUAAUAAAUCUAUGAAAUACUGAAGACAGAUAAGAUGAUUUUUCUGUCUUUUCCAACUGAAUUUCUAUUUCAGAUAUGGAUGAGAAAUAAAGAUUUUAUAGUAUGCCUGACUGUUACUCUCAUUAUUUAGUAUUUUUUUGGGAAGAAGAUACCUUCUAAGGUCUUGGUUCCUUGCCCUUUAAAGGUUAGGAAGGAGGA